CGCUAUCAUCCUACGGGAGGCAGCAGUGGGGAAUAUUGCACAAUGGGCGCAAGCCUGAUGCAGCCAUGCCGCGUGUAUGAAGAAGGCCUUCGGGUUGUAAAGUACUUUCAGCAGUGAGGAAGGUGGUGCAGUUAAUAGCUGUAUCAUUUGACGUUAGCUGCAGAAGAAGCACCGGCUAACUCCGUGCCAGCAGCCGCGGUAAUACGGAGGGUGCGAGCGUUAAUCGGAAUUACUGGGCGUAAAGCGCAUGCAGGUGGUUUGUUAAGUCAGAUGUGAAAGCCCGGGGCUCAACCUCGGAAUUGCAUUUGAAACUGGCAGACUAGAGUACUGUAGAGGGGGUAGAAUUUCAGGUGUAGCGGUGAAAUGCGUAGAGAUCUGAAGGAAUACCGGUGGCGAAGGCGGCCCCCUGGACAGAUACUGACACUCAGAUGCGAAAGCGUGGGGAGCAAACAGGAUUAGAUACCCCUGGUAG
rnacentral:rRNA from 1 species